rnacentral:rRNA from 1 species
UUAGCAUAUCAAUAAGCGGAGGAAAAGAAACCAACAGGGAUUGCCCUAGUAACGGCGAGUGAAGCGGCAACAGCUCAAAUUUGAAAUCUGGCUUCGUCCCUAGUUGUAAUUUGCAGAGGAAGCUUUAGGCGCGGCACCUUUUGAGUCCCCUGGAACGGGGCGCCAUAGAGGGUGAGAGCCCCGUAUAGUUGGAUGCCUAGCCUGUGUAAAGCUCCUUCGACGAGUCGAGUAGUUUGGGAAUGCUGCUCAAAAUGGGAGGUAAAUUUCUUCUAAAGCUAAAUACCGGCCAGAGACCGAUAGCGCACAAGUAGAGUGAUCGAAAGAUGAAAAGCACUUUGAAAAGAGGGUUAAAUAGCACGUGAAAUUGUUGAAAGGGAAGCGCUUGUGACCAGACUUGCGCCGGGCGGAUCAUCCGGUGUUCUCACCGGUGCACUCCGCCCGGCUCAGGCCAGCAUCGGUUCUCGCGGGGGGAUAAAGGCCCUGGGAACGUAGCUCCUCCGGGAGUGUUAUAGCCCGGGGCGUAAUGCCCUCGCGGGGACCGAGGUUCGCGCAUCUGCAAGGAUGCUGGCGUAAUGGUCAUCAGCGACCCGUCUUGAAACACGGACCAAGGAGUCAAGGUUUUGCGCGAGUGUUUGGGUGUAAAACCCGCACGCGUAAUGAAAGUGAACGUAGGUGAGAGCUUCGGCGCAUCAUCGACCGAUCCUGAUGUUUUCGGAUGGAUUUGAGUAGGAGCGUUAAGCCUUGGACCCGAAAGAUGGUGAACUAUGCUUGGAUAGGGUGAAGCCAGAGGAAACUCUGGUGGAGGCUCGCAGCGGUUCUGACGUGCAAAUCGAUCGUCAAAUCUGAGCAUGGGGGCGAAAGACUAAUCGAACCAUCUAGUAGCUGGUUACCGCCGAAGU